AUUGAACGCUGGCGGCAUGCCUUACACAUGCAAGUCGAACGGCAGCACGGGAGCUUGCUCCUGGUGGCGAGUGGCGAACGGGUGAGUAAUACAUCGGAACGUACCCAGUAGUGGGGGAUAACGCACCGAAAGGUGCGCUAAUACCGCAUACGACCUACGGGUGAAAGCGGGGGACCGUAAGGCCUCGCGCUAUUGGAGCGGCCGAUGUCUGAUUAGCUAGUUGGGGAGGUAAAGGCUCACCAAGGCUUCGAUCAGUAGCUGGUCUGAGAGGACGAUCAGCCACACUGGGACUGAGACACGGCCCAGACUCCUACGGGAGGCAGCAGUGGGGAAUUUUGGACAAUGGGCGAAAGCCUGAUCCAGCAAUGCCGCGUGUGCGAAGAAGGCCUUCGGGUUGUAAAGCACUUUUGUCAGGGAAGAAAUCUUUUAGGCUAAUACCCUGGAAGGAUGACGGUACCUGAAGAAUAAGCACCGGCUAACUACGUGCCAGCAGCCGCCGUAA
rnacentral:rRNA from 1 species